UAAUUUUCUAACAGUUGGACGGUUAGGACCUCUAAGCAGAGCAAGCUCCCUAUCCCAUCCCAAAGCCAACCGGCGAGCAACGGAGCAAAGCCCCACCGAGGAAGACAUCAUUGCCAGACCGACGACUGCGAGAGGCACGAGGUCGAAUACCCAGUCACGGUUUGACUGCCCAUCCAUCCGGUCGCUUGGCACUAUCCCGGCCUUUGAUUAAAGGUGCGCGGGCUCGGUUGCAGAAUAUAAGGGCUUUUGCGGCUCCAGCUGCUUCGUCUGGCUUCUCUGCAACGCCAAUAGUCCAACCAAACAAGAGUUAUUUAGUCCAACCGAACAAGAGUGAUUAGUAAAGCUAGAAGUGUGUGAUUUCCAGUGAAAAACCGAUGUAAGCAUGAAUUUUCUUGCCAUAUUGAGUCAUGAAAGUGAUUGUGUGCUCAUCCAUCCGCCACAGCACCAACAACGGUGGUCGGUUUUAGUCGGAGUCCACGUGAGAUUCUUCAGCGGUUCCCAACCAGCGACGUGGGACUUGGCCUGGCUGAGAAAGAAGAUAAGUGAAGAAAAUGUGUGCACACUACUGACAUUUUUGUAACUGCGCGUGUGUUGAAGUUAGUGUUAAGCAGAAUUAGCUCACAAUUUACGGCCGUUUAGAAAUUAAAUUGUAAUGGACUUGCUAGUGAGCAAUAGAUUGUGUUAACGUA